ACCACUCCACCACCUGUGCAUCGGGAUACUCCGCCGUGUCAUCCUCCGCUGGUUGAGAAAAACAAAGAUUCAACCCUUGAAUUUGAAAUUAGGGUUCUUAACAUUGAUAGCUUCCAAAUCCCAAUCACAAACAUGUUGAGACUGAAUCGAUUAAUAACACACAUUAAUAACUCUACCAAGUCUUCACUUCUCUUACUUCAAAAGCAGCAGCAACAAGAGAAGCUCUUAUACUUUCCCUUCUCGGUGUUUCUUGUAAAAGACCUCCACUCGCUUCCUUGACAUGUACCAUCUUUGAAACAAAGCAGCUAUUGAGAAAGAGCGUGCAAGGCUGACAGUGCAGAUGAGAUGAAUAGGGGUUACUUUGCUGAUAUUGCAGAGUUCAAGCAACAUGGUGGUAGGGUAAGGUAAGGUAGUUAUGGAUAGCUAUUUAUAGGUUAGGUUUGGUUAUACUAUUAUCCAAACUUUGCAAAAUUUAUUGCUUCAAUUUUUAUUAAAUGUUUAAUUCACAUUCAUUUCUUGUUUUGCUUGUAUGGUUGGUGUUGAUAAUCAUGAAUGCUUAUGCAACUAUUAUUUUUUAGGAGAUUGAAGAUAAUAUUAAGUACUGUUUUAGAAGUGGAGAGGAGGGAGAGCAUAUACAGUUGUUGAGAUAGUUUUCAUAAAUAUGGGGAACGUUAUUGUUGUGAAUUUUAUUUUAAUCUGCUAUGCUAGAUAUCUAUGCAUGAGAUGAGAUUGACUUAACAAGUUUGUGCAUUAUCAUGAGUAGCAUUUUGAAUAAUCGCUAUGUAUAACAAUGUUGGUAUAUGCUAUCUUGUUUAAAUUGUGUCUUAAGAUUGUCAAAUCAAGCUGAUCUGGUACAAAUAAUUUUUAUGGUGGAACUUAUCCAUGAAAAUAAAUGUAAUUAACCCUCCUCCUGCACCUGUGGGCUGCAGCAUGAACCUACUUGGUAACUGGCUGAACAUUAGGUUAGAUUAUGUGCCUUUUUUAGUAAGGACUUUUUAGUUUGUCAAUGAUGCUCAUGCAGAUUGCAGUGGCAAAUAAAGUUAUAAUUCCAGCAAUGGCAGUAGUGAAGUUUCCCAACUUAGAAGUGAACUUUUCUGAUGGUAAAACUUUAAAGUUGCCUUUUGGGUCCAAUGGAAGUGUGGCUGAUGCUGACACAUCAACUAUGCCUAAAGCAUCUUUACUAUGUCUUUCAUUUCGAGCAAGCUCUCAGGUAUGGACUGUGAACAUCUUUUAGUUAAAUUGUAUCUAUACAUCUGUCAUGGUGUUUCCUUGCAUAUUUUAAUGUGAUUAUGAACCAUGCCAAAUGUUCUAUUUGGGGUUUAAGAGUCCUCACCAUCGCAAUUAAGGCAAUUAUAAGAACUACAAAUGAGGGGAAAAAAGGUGAAAAGAAAAAUGAAAGGGAAAGAGGAGACAUGAAGAAGGCUGAAAAAUCAAAUCAGCAAUGACAGACAUAUCCUGGAUUUUUUUUUUCAUGCGUCCAAACAUGGUAGGCAAUAAAAUUAUGUUUAAGGUUAACCUCCUAGGUGGCAUGAUAAGAUGUCUUUGCCCAUAUUGGAUUAUUGGAUCAGGGACUUUCUUAUUGCUAGUAUGUUUUUAAUCUAACUGUUGUAUGACACUUGGGCCAAGAAGAAAUAUAACAAAAACUGCAAGCCAAGUCAUAAACGAAGAGUAUCAAGUCUCUUUCAUGAAAUAACUGGGUUAUAUUCAAAAUAGGUUGUUAGAUUCCAGCUCACUUGACUCCCUUAGUCCCUUUCC